GUUCUGGCAACAGCAGGUGACAUUAGCUUUGAUUAAUGUCAGAACUGUGAAUGUAGCAGCUGAGGACCUGCACACCUGCAACGCUGACAUGCUUACCUAAUGGCUUAGUUGUUAAAUGCAGAAGUGGUUAAUCAACAUUUCAACACAUGGUCUGAGGUGGGAGAAGGGGGGGAGAAAUCCACAACAACUUAAUUAAUGUGCCAGAUACCCAUGCCGAAAUGUUGCCUAGAUUAUUUUUAGGCUGCAUAGUGAAAGCUGGAAGACCAGAUAAUUCUCAGCACCUUGGCCCUGUUUCCAAGGAUCCUGGUGGCACUCACCACCUGCAUCUCCUAUGGGAAGUCCUGAUAUGCACAUUCUUUUCUCAUUUGUUCUUAUGAUUGGCACAAUUUUAAUAAAACUAAACUAAGGAGAGAGAAAAACCCA
rnacentral:lncRNA from 1 species